rnacentral:rRNA from 1 species
GACGAACGCUGGCGGCGUGCUUAACACAUGCAAGUCGAACGGAAAGGCCCUGCUUUUGUGGGGUGCUCGAGUGGCGAACGGGUGAGUAACACGUGAGUAACCUGCCCUUGACUUUGGGAUAACUUCAGGAAACUGGGGCUAAUACCGGAUAGGAGCUCCUGCUGCAUGGUGGGGGUUGGAAAGUUUCGGCGGUUGGGGAUGAACUCGCGGCUUAUCAGCUUGUUGGUGGGGUAGUGGCUUACCAAGGCUUUGACGGGUAGCCGGCCUGAGAGGGUGACCGGCCACAUUGGGACUGAGAUACGGCCCAGACUCCUACGGGAGGCAGCAGUGGGGAAUAUUGCACAAUGGGCGGAAGCCUGAUGCAGCAACGCCGCGUGCGGGAGGACGGCCUUCGGGUUGUAAACCGCUUUCGCCUGUGACGAAGCGUGAGUGACGGUAAUGGGUAAAGAAGCACCGGCUAACUACGUGC